rnacentral:tRNA from 1 species
GCAGUUAUAGCUCAGUGGUAGAGUGCCUGUUUAGCCUGCACGAGGACCUGGGUUCAAUCCCCAGUACCUCCA